AAGUGCUUGUAAGCCCUAGACUAUGGGGUCUUUAUUCCCUGAAGAAGCAGAAAAUGCCUCAAUGAAUUCUUCCCUUAUCCUUUGAAUCAGCUUGCACUUUAAAAUGUUGUGCUUUUUUACUUUAGUUGGGAAUCUAUUUAUAUUCUUGUUAAUGGGAAGAUAUUAGGGACUUUUGUUACAAACGCACCAGUGCUGUGUGUUAAGGGCUGGAAGCAGGGGCAGGGAGAUAAAGGGAAGGUGAGAAACAGAAAACACGGACAAAAAGAGCCAAGAAUUAUAAGAUGGCUGAUAAUGUUACAGAAAGUUCAAAAAAUAAGGAAAAUAAUAGAUGGAUAAGUAAAUAACGACAUAGGUUCUAUUGUUCUAUUGAGCAUUUUGAUUAUGUAGCUUUUUAAGUUACUUAUGUUAGCCUAAAAAUUAUAAGGAACUACAGUUCAUAUGCAUUUUUUUCUAUACCCAGAUAAACCAUAUUCACGAGAAUUCUGAUUGGCCAUGGAUAUAUCUGGUCCUAGAACAAGAGGAAGUCUUGUUAAGCAUUCCCCAGAGAGAAGAGGUCUUUCCAGGGCUACUAAUGCUCUCUCCUGCAGGGUAAAGUGCCUUCUCAACUGGAUGCCCACGCAAUGACAUUGCUUCCCUGUGGCUCUUGGUUCAGAAAAUUGAGGAGGGCCUGAGAGACUGAACACAAGCAAAAAGCAAGAUCAACUAAGUGCCGUCGCCUUCCUUUUAAGUUGGUGAAUAAAAACCUUGAAUCCUUUUUGGUAUUCUUGUUUGAUUUGAGUCCCAUUUGAUGACCUGUCCUGGUGACCCAUCACUUCCAUGAAUAUUCUAAGAUCCGUCCAAGACAACAUGAAAAGGUGAAGUCACAGUUACCACAUGAUAUGAUUAUUCAGACAAGAAGCCAGAAGCAGGAUAAAAGAAACUUGCCAACUGAUAUUGGUCUCCAAUUUCUACUAAACAGAAUAGUGAAGGAGGAACAGGAGCCCAAUGAGUAUUCACAGGUGAAAUCUUAUUUUAUAGAAGUGCUGCCUCAUUCACCUUUCUCUUAACUACCAGUCAUCACAUUGAAGACACCAAAGAGCCGUCAUGAGCCUUAACUGAGAAAGUGCCAUAACAAGGUGAAAUACUGCAAGGGCCAGUCCAAGCAUCACUUCCGAGCUGUCACCAAGCAUUCCCU
rnacentral:lncRNA from 1 species